rnacentral:lncRNA from 1 species
UAUAUAAUGUCUAUAUGCAAGUAUUUAUGAAUGUUAUGUUUUAAAGUUUUUUGUAUUCCAGGUUUGUUUGUGUGGCUGACUGGACCUACUACAAGGUGCUUCUUGGAGAUACAUCAGUGAUGGUGAGGCCGUCACAUUACCAGCGGUUGUGGAUUUCUCAAUUCAACCUUUAUAUUGCAGACUCCACAUAAGGUAAAACACUUCCAUUCAGCAAUUGGUGUGCAGUGUCCAGAUUGUCAACAUUUAGUUCAGUAUGAUGUUACUUCUGGCCAGCUUAACCUGAGGAGAAAGUCAGUACAGUACACGAUUAGAUUUUGAAAAGGAAACUGCAAAAUCUCAUGGUGUUGUCCCGACCUCCGUAAAGUGUCAUUAAUGCAAGAACGAAUGUAAGUGUCGUCAAGACCAACACAUGUGGUAACUCCAACGAGAACCAGGCCAAUAAGACACUGUACUGUACGUCGCCGCUCUUCAGUGACUACAUCACAACACAUUCACGUAAAGAGUUCUCAGUUAAAUCAGUCGUUGUAAACAAGGAAAUAAAUAACUUUCUCCUAUUA